AACGAACGCUGGCGGCAUGCCUAACACAUGCAAGUCGAACGAAGGCUUCGGCCUUAGUGGCGCACUGGAGCGUAAGGGGUGGGAAUCGGCCCGUUUGUUGGGAAUAACUGCUGGAAAGGGCUGCUAAUACCGGAUGAUUACGAAAGUCCAAUGAUGUAUCGCAAGAGGAUGAGCCCGCGUUAGAUUAGGUAGUUGGUGGGGUAAAGGACUACCAAGCCGACGAUCCCUAGCUGGUGUGAGAGGAUGAUCAGCCACACUGGGACUGAGACACGGCCCAGAUUCCUACGAGAGGCAGCAGGGGGGAAUAUGCGACACUGGGCGCAAGCCUGAGCCAGCAAUGCCGCGUGAGUGAGGAAGGCCCUAGGAUUGUAAAGCUCUGUUACCCGCGAAGCUAAUGACGGUAACGGGAGAAUAAGCCCCGGCUAACUACGUG
rnacentral:rRNA from 1 species